rnacentral:rRNA from 1 species
CACUAUGGCCAUGCCACCCUGAACAUGCCCGAUCUCAUCUGAUCUUAGAAGCUAAGCAAAGUUGGGCCUGAUUAGUACUUGGAUGAGAAUACCAAGUGCUGUAGGCA